UACUUAGUGGCAGACGGGUGAGUAACAUGUAGGUAUCUGCCCUUUGGCCUGGAAUAACACGAGGAAACUUGUGCUAAUACCGGAUAAGUCUUUACGGAGAAAGCUUUAUGCACCAUUGGAUGAGCCUGCACUUGAUUAGUUUGUUGGUGGGGUAAUGGCCUACCAAGACUGUGAUCAAUAGCUGAUUUGAGAGGAUGAUCAGCCACAUUGGGACUGAGACACGGCCCAAACUCCUACGGGAGGCAGCAGUGGGGAAUCUUGCACAAUGGAGGAAACUCUGAUGCAGCGAUGCCGCGUGAGUGAAGAAGGCCCUUGGGUUGUAAAGCUCUUUCGUCGGGGAAGAAAAUGACUGUACCCGAAUAAGAAGGUCCGGCUAACUUCGUGCCAGCAGCCGCGGUAAUACGAAGGGACCUAGCGUAGUUCGGAAUUACUGGGCUUAAAGAGUUCGUAGGUGGUUGAAAAAGUUAGUGGUGAAAUCCCAGAGCUU
rnacentral:rRNA from 1 species